UGAUCUUUUUCUGACUAUAUUCAAACGACAUCUUCCAAACAAAUAAUGAUAUAAGUCUCACUGUAAUGCUAUUAAAACAGUGUGUUAUUCAUUUUAAUGUUAUUAAAACUAGAAAAUGUGCUGAAAAUGACUGCGCAGCCAGCAUUCAAGUUAACUAACGAAAGCACGGCCAAUUAUUGAUUGCUUUAUUUAUGGCUGCUUUAUUUAAGCAUCUUAUCAAGCGCCUGAUUCAAAGUGUAGAGCUGUGUGUAAAUAUGCAUGUUCUAGCUCCAAUGUAUUUAAAUGUAAAAGUUUCUAAAUUAAAUACAUAGCAUGACAGUAAACAGGGAAAAUAAACAAGUAUAUAUCCACCAUGCCAUCUUUGAGAGGCGUGCCGCAGGUGCAUUUCUUACUGUUGCCAAACCAGGUUUUUUUUAAGCCCAAAUGAAAGAUCUUUGACAGUCUCGGUUUCUUCUGCCAAUUGCCUGAACGCUUACUGGUAGCCACAUUGCUAUUUUUUCUUAAAAAUACUUAGUUUAUCAUAUGAAAAAUAAAGAAAAUAGACAUAUGCACGUAAGUUUUGCAUGUAUUUCUUUAAUAAAGCCAAACUGUUUCUCUUUUUAAAAUAUACAGCAGCCCAUCUCAACUUCCCAAUAGCGUUGGAAUCGAUAAUCAUCGCAUUGAAAAAUUAUCGAUAAUCAUAAUUAUUGUCCGUGACCCAAUGAAGCAGUAAGUGGCAGUGAACGCCUGCGUGAGAAACAUGAUCUGCCUCAGCUCUGCGUGAGAAAGUAAGUAUUGAUUUUAAAUGUGUCACCAUAACUUGAACAUCUGCAGAGCUUCACAGAGGAUUCAAAGGGCCUGGGAAAAGAUGCACCCUUGACUCUCUUCCAGCAAAGCUGACCUUCAAAGAGAGAGAUGCUGCCCUGUCUGUGUGGAGCGGUGCAUUUCACACUGAAAUGAAUCAGCACUGUACUCCUGGAAAACGGGAUGAGAGCUCUGAAAUUGAAAUCAUUUCCUUUUGUUUCAUACAUUACCACGUGGUUUCAUUUUGAUGAUAAGUUGCACACUGCCAAAACAUGACUGGUUUUCUAACAUAAAAACACAAAUAUUGUUGAUUUGUAAAAUAAAAAUAAAUGCUAGCUCACUGUAAAAUUACUGUAGAAAACGUGGAACUUUUGACUAUUAAACAUUUUGACACAGGAUUUUAUUUUUACAUUGAAUGUAAUUGCAAAAAGAAAACACCAAAAAAAUAUGGCAAACGUGUAUAGCCUAAAAAACGUGUUGCUGCUUUAUUUUAAACAGACAUGAGUACUAUACUGCAGCAGUGUGGAGUAGUGGUCAGGGGCUCUGGACUCUUGACCGGAGGGUCGCGGGUUCAAUCCCAGGUGGGGGGGACACUGCUGCUGUACCCUUGAGCAAGAUACUUUACCUAGAUUGCACCAGUAAAAACCCAACUGUAUAAAUGGCUAAUUGUAUGUAAAAAUAAUGUGAUAUCUUGUAACAACUGUAAGUCGCCCUGGAUAAGGGUGUCUGCUAAGAAAUAAAAUAAUAAUAUACUGCAGCCUAUGCACCGCUUGGAGAAAAAUAAGCGAGUGCUCAGCACCCUGUUACCAUGGAGUUGCUGUUGUAAAAAAGUAUAGUUGCAUAAAUAGAAGAGAGUUAACUUUUAAUAGAAGGAUAGGCGGUUUAUUUUAUGAAACCGUCUGCAUACAAGUAAUUAAUUUACAGUAGUAAUCGCCAAUUAUUUUAUUCUUUUCUCUCAAUUUGGCAUAUCCAAUUAUUUUUAGGCUCACCGCUACCACCCCUGCGCUGACUCGGGAGGGGCGAAGAUGAACCCACGCUGUCCUCCGAAGCGUGUGCCGUCAGCCGCCCGCUUCUUUACACGCUGCAGACUCACCGUGCAGCCGUCUCAGAGCUGCAGCGUCGGAGGACAACGCAGCUCUCAGGCAGCUUACAGGCAAGCCCGCAGGUGCCCGGCCUGACCACAAGGGGGCACUGGUGCGUGGUGAGCCGAGGACACCCUGGCCGACCUAAACCCUCCCCCCACCUUCCCCUGCAAAUCUGAUUGGCUUAGCUGUCUGCAAAAGGCGUGGCUAAGAUGGAGGAGCGUUGGCUGAGAGCAGAAUGUCUAAAUUAAGAAAAGAAAAGCAUGCAAGAAUAAUCCCAAAGAGAGCUGUGCUAUGCCUAAAUCUGAAGCACAGGAGGGUCCAAGGAUAAAAGCAGUUUACACACUACAGGAGUCAUUUAACCAGGAGUGGUGUGCAAGUCUAAAGCAGGUUACAGAGCUGACAUGUGUUAAAGAUGAAGAGGUCCCUCGACUGGAAUGUGUUCCUAUUAAAGAGGAAUUCUUAGAACAGGAAUGUGUCCCCAUCGCAGAGGAAGUUCCUACUGAAAAUAAUGUCUGUACACUUCAGGAGAACAACAAGCUGGGAUCCAGCCUGUGUGAUGAUUGUCCACCUGAAUGUGAACUGGGAUUUAGAGGAAGAACCGUGCCAUCCGGAUCCUCGAUUCAGAACACAGAUCUCAAAGAGAGCCGUGCUGUCCCUGAAUCUGAAGCACAGGAGGGGCCAAGGAUAAAAGCAGUUUACACACUACAGGAGUCAUUUAACCAGGAGUGGUGUGCAAGUCUAAAGCAGGGUACAGAGCUGACAUGUGUUAAAGAUGAAGAGGUCCCUCGACUGGAAUGUGUUCCUAUUAAAAAGGAAUUCAUAGAACAGGAAUGUGUCCCCAUCGCAGAGGAAGUUCCUACUGAAAAUAAUGUCUGUACACUUGAGGAGAACAACCAGCUGGGAUCCAGCCUGUGUGAUGAUUGUCCACCUGAAUGUGAACUGGGAUUUAGAGGAAGCACCUCGCCACCCGGAUCCUCGAUUCAAAACACAGAUCGAGGAUGCCGUGAGGCUGUCGGCCGUACAAGAGCUCGAAGGGGGAGAACCCUGUCGAACUCUGCGGCACCUCUCUCACUGCAAAAAGGAGGUACGCGCUCCCUCCCCGAUCAGACCCAGGCAAGCAUCCCCGCUGGAAGAACCGCACAACCUGGAUCCUCGAUUCAGAACACAGCUGCUAAAGGGAAGCAGACAGGAAGGCCUCCAUUUUUCUGUGCUGAUUGUGGGAAGAGAUGCACGUGUUUAGCAAAGCUUAAAAUCCACCAGCGCAUGCACACAGGAGAGAAACCUCAUCCCUGCUCUGAGUGUGGGAAGAGAUUCACAGAGUUAGGAAAUCUUAAAGUCCACCAGCGCAUUCACACAGGAGAGAAACCUUAUCAGUGCACAGAGUGCGGGAGGCGUUUCACAAAGUUAGGAAAUCUUCAAUCACACCUGCGCAUUCACACAGGAGAGAAACCUUAUCAAUGCACAGAGUGUGGGAGGAGUUUCACAAUGUUACAAAAUCUUAAAAGACAUCAGCGCUUUCACACAGGAGAGAAACCUUAUCACUGCACUGAGUGUGGGAGGAGUUCCAGUAAUUUAUCAGACUUUAAAAAACACAUGCGCAUUCACACAGGAGAGAAGCCUUAUCGCUGUGCUGAAUGUGGAAAGAGUUACACAUAUUUAAAUUCCUUGAAAACCCACCAGCAGACUCACAAAAAGAGAAAUCUUCUCAAUGUAGUGAAUGUAUGAGGAGUUUUAGUCACUUCUUAAACCUUAAAAGACACCAUAAAACUCACAUGUGACCUGGAGAAAUGUUCGUUCUGUCAGGUUGUUCACUAUAAUAGGGUUUGGCAAUUUGCUGUAUCAGAAUAAUAAAGAAAUGCCAAAAUUGAAUUGAACAUCUUUAUAUAGUAUAAGUUCUUUCAAGACAACUUGACAUUGAUCAACAUUAAAACUGUAUAUUUAAAAGAAAACAGUAAAGAAAUGAAUAAAGUACACUUCCAUGCUGAAUACAGUAAUUCCGUGACCUUUCUCUUGACAAGCAUAUCCAGCAUAGUUUGCUUCAUAUUGUUCGUGCUUUUCUCAAUGCACGCGGUUUCAGUCUUGUUACCGCCUCACGCCUGUUGCCAUGGUUGCAGUUUGUAUGAAGAUGGCAACGGUUGCAUACGUCACACAUGAUUCGCACUGCAAUAGGUUAUCUAUGAAUCAGCCUUAUCUUCGAAUUAGCCUACCAAGAUCUUUGUUUUCACUGAGAGAAUAACACAUUCACAAUGUCAGAAAUUGCCGAUUGAGUGUAACAUAUAUAUUUGUGUGUGUGUGUGUAUUAAUCAAACAUCUAUCUCAUAUAUACACAUAUAUCUGUAUUAUACUUGGUAGCAAGGACCCUGUGAACUCCAGUUCACCUCAUUUUCAGGGAAAGGACGGGUGGAAGAUAGUAAACCAUGAGCUCACAUGCCAUUCAUUUUGAAAAGGGAGUCACCGGUAUCUUCUGAAAUAUAUUAUUCACACAAAGAUAAGAGCUGUCUAAACAGAGCAAAUAAUUAGAUUUAAUUGGGUCUUCUGGCAUAAGAAGCAAAGCAAAAACUAUAAAAAAAACGAGAUAAAAUCCUAGUCAAGCAUCACUCGACUUACCAACUACAAGUUGUGUGGUCCAUGCUCUGAGGAUCUCUGAGGAAGCUGGUUGCUGUUUGGUCGUAUUCAGAAGCCUUUGCCUUUGAAGACAGUUCUUGUUUUUACGUUGUAUUCUUCAACUACACUUCCAUAUAGUGGAACAUAAGAAUAAUUUUGAAUGUAUAUCUCAUUUAUAUUGAUGCUUUGCUACAUAAAUUAUAUUUUAGCUUUGGAGAGCGAUACAUUGAAUGUUUUAGGAUUCAGCUUUUUGCAUGGCUAGCCUAAGGGUUAAGCAUAUGAUGACCAUACCUGUAUAACUGUAUUGAAGUAUUAAUGCUAUUAAACCUGUAAAGGCACUGGAAACGCCCAGACUGCCUAUUGCUUGGCAUUUGCUGUGGCCUGCAACCACCCAAUCCAUUUUUAAGCAUUUAAUAAACUAAAAGGAGCACUAUUACUGCUCUGAUUCAUUAAAACUUCUAAUUAAA